UUGGAUAUCUCAAAGAUAAAC
rnacentral:piRNA from 1 species